GGUCCUUGGAAGAGAUGGAGUUACUGUUUUGCAAAGUCGUGCCUAGUGUUAUAAUCAAACAAACUCUCCCACCCAUUAGCAUAUACUACACGUUAUUACUUCUGGGCUGAAGCUCCACACUCUCAUUUCUAGCCCUAACGCCCUUGCUAAACAGUAACUCCAUCUCUUCCAAGGACCUGCCCUUGGUCUCUGGGAAAAGAAAAUAGAAGAAAAACCACCCAAUCACUGAUACACCAGCAAACAAGUAGAAGGCUCCACCUAUAGUAAUUGCUUUGUAUAGUGAAAUAAAACUCAUAGAGAUUGUAGCAUUCAUAAGCCUAUUAACAGCUACACCAAUGCUGUACCCUUGNUCAAAGGGAAUAUCUCAGAGCUGUAAACCCAUGUCACAGGUGCAAGACCAAUAUUGUAAAAAGCCAC
rnacentral:misc_RNA from 1 species